GAUCCUGGCUCAGGACGAACGCUGGCGGCACGCUUAACACAUGCAAGUCGAACGAGAGAAGAGAAGCUUGCCUUUCUGAUCUAGUGGCGGACGGGUGAGUAACACGUGAGCAAUCUGCCUUUCAGAGGGGGAUACCGAUUGGAAACGAUCGUUAAUACCGCAUAAUAUAAUUGAACCGCAUUAUUUGAUUAUCAAAGAUUUAUCGCUGAAAGAUGAGCUCGCGU
rnacentral:rRNA from 1 species